AUGUUUGCCGCAACUAUUACAGUGCUAAGAAGUGUAGCAGCUGACCGUUCAGCUACAGGGAACUCAAGAGGUGAUGUUGGAGGUUCCCUGAAAAUCCUACUCACAUUUGAUUGUGUGUUCAUUCUACAUUUAAUGGAAAGAAUCAAGAAAAUCACGGAUGUCUUGUGUCUCAAACUUCAACAUAAAUCUUUGGACAUUGCAAAUGCAUUAGAUUGUGUUUCUAACACAAAGGUGUUGCUUGGUGAACUAAGGGAAGAUGGAUGGGACAACGUUUAUGAAGAUGUGAAAUCCUUUUGUGUGAAACAUGAGAUUGACAUCCCGAACAUGGAUCAAAAGUAUGUUGAUGUGACAAAAUCUCAAAAUAAGCAUGACAGCACCACAGUUAUCCAUCAUUACAAAGUAGAUGUGUUUAAUGUUGCAAUAGAUCAACAAGUGAUAGAGUUGAAUGAUCGAUUCAGUUCUCAAGUAACUGAGCUACUAGAUCUUUGUUCAUCAUUGGAACCGAGGCAUGAUGCCUUCAGCAAGUCAAAGAUAUGCAGACUAGUGGAGAAAUUCUAUCCUGCAGAUUUUUCUAGUCAAGAAAGAGAUCGGUUGGAGUGCAAGCUACCACAUUUCCAGCUUGAUACAUUCAACCAUCCAAGGUUGUUACGAUUGGUGAUAACUCUCCUGGUGUCAACCGCAACAGCAGAGCGAGCCUUUUCUGCAAUGAAACUAGUCAAGACGCGGCUUAGAAGCAAAAUGGGAGAUGAUUUUCUUUGCCAUUGCAUGCUAGUUUACAUUGAGAAGGAACUUGCAGCCAAGUUUAGCUCUGAACAAAUAAUCGAUAUCUUCGAUACUGGUGCUUGUAAAGCAGAAUUCAAAUUGAUAGAAAUGUAA
rnacentral:rRNA from 1 species